rnacentral:miRNA from 1 species
CGGCAGAAGCACUUGGGGUAU